CGUCUGUACAUAAUGAGGAUGAGAACCUCCGAAGGAGGUUUGAGCCGAGCGAAGCGAGACAACGUUGCUUCAGCAACGGCCCGCAGGGCGGCUCGAAGAGCCGUAAUCCUACUCGCUACCA
rnacentral:sRNA from 1 species